rnacentral:rRNA from 1 species
UUGACAACUUGGCCUCAAAUCAGGUAGGACUACCCACUGAACUUAAGCAUAUCAAUAAGUGGAGGAAAAGAAACUAACAAGGAUUCCCCUAGUAACGGCGAGUGAAGCGGGAAGAGCUCAAAUUUAAAAUCUGGCAGGCUACGCUUGUCCGAAUUGUAAUCUCGAGAAGUGUUUUCCGCGUUGGCCUGUGUACAAGUCCCUUGGAACAGGGCGUCAUAGAGGGUGAGAAUCCCGUCCUUGACACAGACACCCAAUGCUUUGUGAUACACUCUCAAUGAGUCGAGUUGUUUGGGAAUGCAGCUCAAAAUGGGUGGUAAAUUCCAUCUAAAGCUAAAUACUGGCGAGAGACCGAUAGCGAACAAGUACCGUGAGGGAAAGAUGAAAAGCACUUUGGAAAGAGAGUCAAACAGUACGUGAAAUUGUUGAAAGGGAAACGAUUGAAGUCAGUCGUGCCUGCCUAGUCUCAGAGUUUUGGUGUACUACUAGGUCGGCAGGUCAGCAUCAGUUUGGGAGGAUUAACAAGGGAGUUAGGAAUGUGGCAACCUCGGUUGUGUUAUAGCCUAGCUUCGCAUUGAUCUUGCUGGACUGAGGAACGCAGUGCGCCCGCAAGGGUUGGUCUUCGGACA